UAAAGACACUAGAGUUUACAUUGGCUUUCCACCGCUGGAGACAGCUCUGUGUGUUUGAUGCUGAACUCGCAAUGUUUCUUCUUGACUGAUCCUCCAUGAAUAUUCCAGGGCUCCUUGUUUGUCGGGAAGGCUGUCUCGCUUUCAUCUAUUCAGCCUUCUGAUAGACAACCCUGACACCUGCUCCCGGGGGAGACCCUCCGCCAAGUCAGUGCACUGUUCCUUGAGAGACUUCCCUUA